rnacentral:rRNA from 1 species
AAAUGGCGGGUGCUUACCAUGCAGUCGAACGGUGAAGCCCAGCUUGCUGGGUGGAUCAGUGGCGAACGGGUGAGUAACACGUGAGCAACCUGCCCCUGACUCUGGGAUAAGCGCUGGAAACGGCGUCUAAUACUGGAUAUGUGACGUGACCGCAUGGUCUGCGUUUGGAAAGAUUUUUCGGUUGGGGAUGGGCUCGCGGCCUAUCAGCUUGUUGGUGAGGUAAUGGCUCACCAAGGCGUCGACGGGUAGCCGGCCUGAGAGGGUGACCGGCCACACUGGGACUGAGACACGGCCCAGACUCCUACGGGAGGCAGCAGUGGGGAAUAUUGCACAAUGGGCGCAAGCCUGAUGCAGCAACGCCGCGUGAGGGAUGACGGCCUUCGGGUUGUAAACCUCUUUUAGCAGGGAAGAAGCGAAAGUGACGGUACCUGCAGAAAAAGCGCCGGCUAACUACGUGCCAGCAGCCGCGGUAAUACGUAGGGCGCAAGCGUUAUCCGGAAUUAUUGGGCGUAAAGAGCUCGUAGGCGGUUUGUCGCGUCUGCUGUGAAAUCCCGAGGCUCAACCUCGGGCCUGCAGUGGGUACGGGCAGACUAGAGUGCGGUAGGGGAGAUUGGAAUUCCUGGUGUAGCGGUGGAAUGCGCAGAUAUCAGGAGGAACACCGAUGGCGAAGGCAGAUCUCUGGGCCGUAACUGACGCUGAGGAGCGAAAGGGUGGGGAGCAAACAGGCUUAGAUACCCUGGUAGUCCACCCCGUAAACGUUGGGAACUAGUUGUGGGGUCCAUUCCACGGAUUCCGUGACGCAGCUAACGCAUUAAGUUCCCCGCCUGGGGAGUACGGCCGCAAGGCUAAAACUCAAAGGAAUUGACGGGGACCCGCACAAGCGGCGGAGCAUGCGGAUUAAUUCGAUGCAACGCGAAGAACCUUACCAAGGCUUGACAUAUACGAGAACGGGCCAGAAAUGGUCAACUCUUUGGACACUCGUAAACAGGUGGUGCAUGGUUGUCGUCAGCUCGUGUCGUGAGAUGUUGGGUUAAGUCCCGCAACGAGCGCAACCCUCGUUCUAUGUUGCCAGCACGUAAUGGUGGGAACUCAUGGGAUACUGCCGGGGUCAACUCGGAGGAAGGUGGGGAUGACGUCAAAUCAUCAUGCCCCUUAUGUCUUGGGCUUCACGCAUGCUACAAUGGCCGGUACAAAGGGCUGCAAUACCGCGAGGUGGAGCGAAUCCCAAAAAGCCGGUCCCAGUUCGGAUUGAGGUCUGCAACUCGACCUCAUGAAGUCGGAGUCGCUAGUAAUCGCAGAUCAGCAACGCUGCGGUGAAUACGUUCCCGGGUCUUGUACACACCGCCCGUCAAGUCAUGAAAGUCGGUAACACCUGAAGCCGGUGGCCUAACCUUUUUGGAGGGAGCCGUCGAAGUGAUCAGUC